GAUGAACGCUGGCGGCGUGCCUAAUACAUGCAAGUCGAGCGAACAGAUGAGGAGCUUGCUCCUCUGACGUUAGCGGCGGACGGGUGAGUAACACGUGGAUAACCUACCUAUAAGACUGGGAUAACUUCGGGAAACCGGAGCUAAUACCGGAUAAUAUAUUGAACCGCAUGGUUCAAUAGUGAAAGACGGUUUUGCUGUCACUUAUAGAUGGAUCCGCGCCGCAUUAGCUAGUUGGUAAGGUAACGGCUUACCAAGGCAACGAUGCGUAGCCGACCUGAGAGGGUGAUCGGCCACACUGGAACUGAGACACGGUCCAGACUCCUACGGGAGGCAGCAGUAGGGAAUCUUCCGCAAUGGGCGAAAGCCUGACGGAGCAACGUCGCGUGAGUGAUGAAGGUCUUCGGAUCGUAAAACUCUGUUAUUAGGGAAGAACAAAUGUGUAAGUAACUAUGCACGUCUUGACGGUACCUAAUCAGAAAGCCACGGCUAACUACGUG
rnacentral:rRNA from 1 species